GCGGCAGCCUUCAGAUGACAUGACAGCACUUUCUAACUGGAGCUUUCAUCACUGAAACUGAAGAGCAACCGAGGGUUCAAAUUCAGGAGGAGUCUCACAUCCUUGUACUUUCCCAGCCCAUCUGGAGAUGCCAGGGAUAGAACCUGGGACCUUCUGCAGGCAAAACAAGAUGCUUUCUCACUUAGCUACAGACCCAUCCAUUCUGGAGUCCCAGGCGCCAGACCGUGAUGUCAGCGGUCUUCCUUCACUGGAACCACCCUUCCCAUUUCCUGGCUGAAGGAAAUGGGAAGCCAUGCUAGCCACCUGCCUGGCUUUCUCUCUGCCUGUCCUUACACAACUGCCAGGCUAGCAACAGUACAGCAGCCAGGAAACAAGGAAGGACAGCCCUGGAACCAGUCACCCCCUGCCCAUGGACUGGAGCUCAGCUUACUGACACCGUCCCUCUGCCCACUUUUACUAAUGUUUUAAAUAAUUAAUGUUUUAAUGUAAUAAUCAAUGUGCUGAAAAUGGACCUCGGCCCAGCACAGCAAGUCACAAUUGCUUCUGGUCCAGCUGCUUCUUCCAGUUGCUUCUGCUUCAGGGCAUUUCAGUUGUGCACCCCUGAUUUCGCCCCUCUCCUCCCAGAAACAUAACCUUUCUACCUGCUGCAUCUGAGGGAGGGGCAGUUCUAGGUCCCAGGGCCCUCGACAGGACUCCGCAGACCUGAUUGGAUUGCCUAGAAUUCAUGGUGGGGCUUACACUGGCAGAUGGGAUGGAGGAGAGGAGGCAAUAAUGGAGUGACUCUUGGUUCUCUGGAAGAGAACCAAAACUCAUGGGACUCUGGAAACCAAGUCCUAUGAGGCAUGGCUGAAGGAGCUGGGUAUGUUUAGCUUAGAGAAGAGAGGACUAAGGUAGAUGGAGUGGUAUAAUAUCUGUUUUCAAAUAUCCAAAAGGCUGGCACCUAGAAGUAGGAACAGACCUGUUCUCUGUUGCUCCUGAGGGCAGGACUAGGACUAAUGGGCUGAAAUUACAAGGAACUGUAAGAGCUAUUUGACGGUGGAACACCUGCCUCAUGCAGUGGUGGGCUUUCUGUUGCCUGAGGUUUCCAAACAGAGGCUGGACAGGCUUCUGUCAUGGAUGCUGUGGCAGUUUUCCGCACUGAGCAGGAAAUUGGACUAGGAGACCUCUAAGUCCCCUUCCAACUCUAAAAUUCUGUGAUUCUAUAGCCCUCUUCAGAUCUAAUGACCACCCUGGAUCCAACCAGGUUGAACCUGAAUCCAACCAGGUUUCAGCUCAUUGAUUCGACGUAAGUGAUCAUGCUUACGGUUCUGCCACCUUCAGAUGGAUUGCGCAUGAUCUUCAGUGUGAGGGAGGUGAUUGACAGCGGGGCGGCCAAACUUCCUUCUUGCUUUUUGCCCGCUGUAACAAUGAGCAUCUGGGGCACUCAUAAUGUCUGAAGAGGGUUUAUGCUUCUAUAGUUGAGGGAAUUCCUCCUCCUCCUCCUCCUCCUCCACCACCACCCAAAGUCUAUGGGAUAGAGAUGGUUUGGGGGCCUGGCUAUGCCCUUGCCAGCUGCCUGACAGUGCCAACCCUGACAUUCUCCCCGAGUAGAGGCAGAGGUGAGACUGUGAGGCCCCCAUUGGCCUGGCUGCCAUUUAACUCUUCCCCCACAACUGUCUUCUGGACUGUCUAUUUCACAGGGUCAUUAUGUAACCUACUUGUUUGCUCCCUAUACCCUUUCCUUUGCAUAUUGUAUCUACCUUGAAUGGUUAUUUUGGAUUACCUUGAGAGCACAGUUCUAUUCAUGUCUGCUUGGAAGUAAAUCCUAUCUACUACUACCACUACCACCACUACUACUACUAUGACGGCGAAUAUUUAUAUACCGCUCUUCAAGCAAAGUUCUCAAAGCGGUUUACAUAGAAAAAUAAAUAAUACUUAGUCCCCAAGGCAGACAACAGCAAUAGCCAAUGGAUGAGACUUACACCCAGGUAAGUGUGUCUAAAAUUGUAGCCUGGGUGGUUUAUAUACCAGCAGGAAGUCGGUAUAUGAAUGAAGCAAAUAGGUAAACCUGAAAAUGGUGAAAAACAUAUUGUACCAUUCUGCUGGGACUAUACAAAUUCAGUUGCCUAACAGUGAUUAAAUCUUCACUGCUUUCACCAUAAAAAAACCCAAGUAGUUCUGGUAAGAACUAGUCUGCCCAUUCAUUCAUUCAUUCAUUUAAUAGAUUUGUAUACUGCCCUGGCCAGAACCUCAGGGGUAUACUCAUGAGUCAAUGGGCCAUAACCCAAAAUUUGGCUUUAAAAAAGCCAAAUCUGACAACAGAGCACCCAAGUCUCUAGACAGUUUACAGCAUAAAACAAAACAAACCAAGAACUUAACAGUUACAAUAUAAAACCAGAUUAAAAUAUCCAUAAAAACACCAACUAACUAAAAUCUUGGCUGAAGAGAUACUGUAUGUGCUCAGUUUUUCCCUAAAAGUCAACAGGGAUAGAGCAGUUCUAAUCUCAGCAGGAAAUGCAUUCCACAGGGGUGUGCACAACACUGGAUGGUCUGGUUCAUUUCGAGUCCAAAUCAGACCUGAAUUGGAUGGUCCACAAGUUCGCCAACCCACUUGAGCCUCAACAUUCAUGUGUCUGCCAUCUUGAACUGGGGUAGAUGACAUCAUUACACACUACACCACUGAGGUGUCUCUAUGUGUAACUCAUUUUGACUGUACCAAAUUGGGUUCAAAUCAGGCAGUUCACAAGUUAGUCCACUUGAGCCUCAAACUAUCUUACUGCCAUCUUGAAUUGGGGUGGAUGACAUCACCACAGAUUAUGCCAUUGAGGUGUCCCUAUGUGUCCCUACAACUGUAUCCAGUUUGGUUCAUAUUGGUCCAGGCAUUGCAAAGUUGAUAGUGGGGGACACAC